rnacentral:rRNA from 1 species
GACGAACGCUGGCGGCGUGCUUAACACAUGCAAGUCGAACGGAAAGGCCCUGCUUUUGUGGGGUGCUCGUGUGCCGAACGGGUGUGUAUCACGUGAGUAACCUGCCCCUGACUUUCGGAUAACUUCAGGAAACUGGGGCUAAUACCCGAUAGGAGCUUCUGAUGCAUGGUGGGGGUUGGUAAGUUUCGGCGGUUCGGGAUAGACUAGCGGCUUAUCAGCUUGUUGGGGGGGUAGGUGCGUACCAAGGCUUCGACGGGUAGCCGACCUUAGAGGGUGACCGGGCUCCUUAGUACUGAGGGACGGACCAGACGCCUACCGGAGGCAGCAGGCGGGAGUCUUACGGAACAGGGGGGAGUCAGAUGUAGCAAUGCCGGGAGCGGGAAGAUGUGCUUCGGGUUGUAAACCGCUUUCGCCUUAAACGUAGACUGAGUGACGGUAAUUGGUAAAGAAGCACCGGCUAACUACGUG